CCCUUAGAUGUUCUGGGCUGCACACGCGCUACACUGAAGGGAUCAGCGUGUUCUUUUCCUGGUCCGAAAGGAUCGGGUAACCCGCUGAACCCCCUUCGUGGUAGGGAUCGGAGCUUGCAAUUAUUCUCCGUGAACCAGGAAUUCCCAGUAAGCGCAAGUCAUAAGCUCGCGUUGAUUACGUCCCUGCCCUUUGUACACACCGCCCGUCGCUACUACCGAUUGGACGUUUUAGUGAGGAUUUUGGACUGAGCCAAUGGUGGUUCACACCACUGUUGUGCAUGGAAAGAUCUCCAAACUUGAGCGUUUAGAGGAAGUAAAAGUCGUAACA
rnacentral:rRNA from 1 species